rnacentral:rRNA from 1 species
UGGGGAAUUUUGGACAAUGGGCGAAAGCCUGAUCCAGCAAUGCCGCGUGUGUGAAGAAGGCCUUCGGGUUGUAAAGCACUUUUGCUCCGGAAAGAAAUCCUUGGCUCUAAUACAGUCGGGGGAUGACGGUACCGGAAGAAUAAGCACCGGCUAACUACGUGCCAGCAGCCGCGGUAAUACGUAGGGUGCAAGCGUUAAUCGGAAUUACUGGGCGUAAAGCGUGCGCAGGCGGUUUGCUAAGACCGAUGUGAAAUCCCCGGGCUCAACCUGGGAACUGCAUUGGUGACUGGCAGGCUAGAGUAUGGCAGAGGGGGGUAGAAUUCCACGUGUAGCAGUGAAAUGCGUAGAGAUGUGGAGGAAUACCGAUGGCGAAGGCAGCCCCCUGGGCCAAUACUGACGCUCAUGCACGAAAGCGUGGGGAGCAAACAGGAUUAGAUACCCUGGUAGUCCACGCCCUAAACGAUGUCAACUAGUUGUUGGGGAUUCAUUUCCUUAGUAACGUAGCUAACGCGUGAAGUUGACCGCCUGGGGAGUACGGUCGCAAGAUUAAAACUCAAAUGAAUUGACGGGGUCAUAGCUGUUUCCU